CAGCAGCCGCGGUAAUACGAAGGGGGCUAGCGUUGCUCGGAAUUACUGGGCGUAAAGGGAGCGUAGGCGGACAUUUAAGUCAGGGGUGAAAUCCCGGGGCUCAACCUCGGAAUUGCCUUUGAUACUGGGUGUCUUGAGUAUGAGAGAGGUAUGUGGAACUCCGAGUGUAGAGGUGAAAUUCGUAGAUAUUCGGAAGAACACCAGUGGCGAAGGCGACAUACUGGCUCAUUACUGACGCUGAGGCUCGAAAGCGUGGGGAGCAAACAGGAUUAGAUACCCGAGUAGUCCCUGUCUCUUAUAC
rnacentral:rRNA from 1 species